rnacentral:rRNA from 1 species
CCUACGGGAUGCAGCAGUGGGGAAUUUUGCGCAAUGCUCGUAAGAGUGACGCAGCGACGCCGCGUGAAUGACGCAGGCCUUCGGGUCGUAAAGUUCUUUCGACAGGGAAGAAAAUUCCUAUAAGUACCUGUGUCUGUAUUGACGGUCCCUGUAUAAGCGGCCCCGACUAACUCCGUGCCAGCAGCCGCGCUAAUACGGCGGGGGCGAGCGUUGUUCGGAGUGACUGGGCGUAAAGAGGACGUAGGCGGUGGUGUAAGUCAUUAGUCAAAGACUAGAGCUCAACUUUAGUAAGGCUAGUGAUACUAUAAUACUAGAGUAUCAGAGAGGAGGGCAGAAUGCGUGGUGUAGCGGUGAAAUGCGUAGAUAUCAGGAGGAAUACCGUUAGCGAAGGCGGCAAUCUGGCUGGAAACUGACGCUGAGGUGCGAAAGCGUGGGUAGCAAACAGGAUUAGAUACCCGGGUAGUC